rnacentral:rRNA from 1 species
GACGAACGCUGGCGGCGUGCUUAACACAUGCAAGUCGAACGGAAAGGCCCUGCUUUUGUGGGGUGCUCGAGUGGCGAACGGGUGAGUAACACGUGAGUAACCUGCCCUUUACUUUGGGAUAACUUCAGGAAACUGGGGCUAAUACCGGAUAGGAGCUCCUGCUGCAUGGUGGGGGUUGGAAAGUUUCGGCGGUUGGGGAUGGACUCGCGGCUUAUCAGCUUGUUGGUGGGGUAGUGGCUUACCAAGGCUUUGACGGGUAGCCGGCCUGAGAGGGUGACCGGCCACAUUGGGACUGAGCUACGGCCCGGACUCCUACGGGAGGCAGGAGUGGGGAAUAUUGCACAAUGGGCGGAAGCCUGAUGCAGCAACGCCGCGUGCGGGAUGACGGGCUUCGGGUUGUAAACCGCUUCCGCCUGUGACGAAGCGUGAGUGACGGUAAUGGGUAAAGAAGCCCCGGCUAACUACGUG